rnacentral:rRNA from 1 species
UACAGAGGUCCCAAGCGUUGUUCGGAUUCAUUGGGCGUAAAGGGUGCGUAGGUGGCGGGGUAAGUCUGGUGUGAAAUCCUGGGGCUCAACCCCGGAACUGCACUGGAUACUGCUUUGCUAGAGUACUGGAGAGGGAACUGGAAUUUACGGUGUAGCAGUGAAAUGCGUAGAUAUCGUAAGGAAGACCAGUGGCGAAGGCGAGUUCCUGGACAGUUACUGACACUGAGGCACGAAGGCCAGGGGAGCAAACGGG